UUUCGGCCGGAGACUUCAACGCUCGC
rnacentral:miRNA from 1 species